CCCAGCUGUAGGCAGCUACUUAGGUUGUCUUACAGCGGGGCAAGUGUUACACUGCUGGGAAAAAAACAGACACUAGCUGUCCGGCAUUCUGGACCUGCUUUAUGCCAGGUCUCUGUUAACUAUAUCAGUGUGGCAUCAUAGUUACUUA
ensembl:snoRNA SNORA74 Small nucleolar RNA SNORA74